UGCCUGGGAUUAAAGGCAUGUCCUGCCAUGC
rnacentral:piRNA from 1 species